UGACUGCUAUCGGAUUGAUACUAAGCCAUGCGAGUCAUUGUAGUAAUACAAGGCAGACGGCUCAGUAACGCGUAGUCAACCUAACCUAUGGACGGGAAUAACCUCGGGAAACUGAGUAUAAUGCCCGAUAGAACAUUAUGCCUGGAAUGGUUUAUGUUCCAAAUGAUUUAUCGCCGUAGGAUGGGACUGCGGCCUAUCAGUUUGUUGGUGAGGUAAUGGCCCACCAAGACUAUUACAGGUACGGGCUCUGAGAGGAGUAGCCCGGAGAUGGGUACUGAGACACGGGCCCAGGCCCUAUGGGGCGCAGCAGGCGAGAAAACUUUGCAAUGUGCGAAAGCACGACAAGGUUAAUCCGAGUGGUUUCUGCUAAAGGAACCCUUUGUCGGUCCUAGAAACACCGAUGAAUAAGGGGUGGGCAAGUUCUGGUGUCAGCCGCCGCGGUAAAACCAGCACCUCAAGUGGUCAGGAUGAUUAUUGGGCCUAAAGCAUCCGUAGCCGGCUCUAUAAGUUUUCGGUUAAAUCUGUACGCUCAACGUACAGGCUGCCGGGAAUACUGUAGAGCUAGGGAGUGGGAGAGGUAGACGGUACUCGGUAGGAAGGGGUAAAAUCCUUUGAUCUAUUGAUGACCACCUGUGGCGAAGGCGGUCUACCAGAACACGUCCGACCGGUGAGGGAUGAAAGCUGGGGGAGCAAACCGGAUUAGGUACCCGGGUAGUCCCAGCUGUAAAC
rnacentral:rRNA from 1 species